rnacentral:misc_RNA from 1 species
CGCUCUUCUCAGUAGCAGAAGCGUCAUGAUGCCACACACACAAAGAAGGAAAAGUGGACAGGCUUAUGGUGCUAGAGGCGAAGAAGAGAGGGAGGGCGAAAUAGAGAAAAGGGACUCACAUGAAGAGAUGAGAGACUUGCAGUGCGGGCAGCACGGUAAUCUCAUCUUCCGUCAAUGCGACGAAGGAAACUCUCUCUGUGUUUGCCGUUUCUCUUCAUUCUCUUGUGAGAUCGGUCCUUUCAAACACCUGCUCGCCUUUUUUUUUCGAUUGACUGAUGUGAGUGUGUAGAUGGUUCGACGGCCUCUUAGGUGUGCUGUUGCUGCUUCUUUUUUCUUCGUGGUCGUGGUAGUGCUUUGGUCUAGUUUUCAGCCUUUUCUUCGUGCUUGGUGCACCUUUUCCUACUUUCCACUGUUUCUCGUUUUCCCUUUCGUAUUAGUCGGGCUGCUGCUGCUGCUGCUGCUGUGUGUGUGUGUGGUGUUGAUAGAGAUGAAGAUUGCUGCAGCUCUCCCUAUAUCCGUGUGUGCGUGCGCGUAAUUGAUAGCGCAGCUUUGGUGGUCUUCAGCUGGCGCGGCAAAGGAAAAGGGGAGCAGAACUGAAGCACCGCACCGACAGCGCAUACUUGCUCGGGUGAAGGAACGAAGCAAGAGAAGUGGAGAGGCUCCUAAAACUGAUCACGUCUCCAAUCCCUUUUGUUCUCGUCUCUUGCUCUCUGGCUGAUUUUCUCGCUUCACAACAUCCCGUGUGCGUGAGCGCAUCCUCCUGCUUCGCUGCUGUCUGUCGGGCUGCUGUUGUUGUUUCGCCUAUCGUGUCUUUUGGCGUUCGCUUCGGUGUUACCUCCUUGCUCCCCUCCCUCUCCCCGAAAAUGGCAACUCUUUUUGGUGGUGUACACGAUGGAUGGCGCGCGCAUAUGGGGUCUUUCUCUCGAUCCGAACGUGGCGCGUGUGUUGGUGUAGCCGCAGGCUGUCAAUGAAACGACAGCACGGAUUAGACGCCGAGCAAACAACAAAAGAGAGAGAAGAGACACGCACUAGCAAGGGACUUAUGAACGCAAAACAAACAACAAAGUCCCCUCCUUCCCCAUUCCCGAAACAAAAAAAAGAAUCAGCUGUACGUACUAUUCGCUAUCGGGGGCACGCGCAUAUGGAGACGCACAUGCCCCUACUCGAUACGGCACCGCAAAAAGAAGCAGACAACAAAAGAAAACAGCUGUCUUCAUAGCUUGGCUUUUUUCUCGACUUGUGUGUGUUCUUCUUUGGCCAGGGACACACGCGCUCAUUGAUGUGUGUGCUUGUGCGCCUCCACAUUUGUGGUUGUGUCUGUCUGUGUGCGCGCGCAUGCACCCUCCGCUCUCUCCGCGAGUGCUCACUCAACUCCCCCAGCCUUUCAUUCCCCUCGUGCCAAGGAGCGGUAGACUGAGUUGGGAAGUAUCUUUUCUUUCGUUGUACUUCUCCCCAUUUCUCCUUGUGUGCUGUCGGCGCUCUUUUCUUUUUUUUCUGUUGCGUGCGCGUGUGCGUGCGCGCCUCUUCGCUUUCUUCCGUUUGACUUUAACGGUCGGCACCAUCUUUUCUCAUGCUCUUUUUCGUGACCCUUUCUUUUUUUUUUAUCACUGCCUCUCUUCACAUUUUGUCGUGUGUUUCGCUCCUCUUUUUCGAGAAUAGCCGCUUCAUGUUCAUCGGCCAAUGCGUGUCUGCGUCCUUUUCCCUUGUCAAGCGUCCCUCUCUUUACCGUUGGCCAGGGAUGGGAUGCGCUGACGGCUUUGGGCGUCUUCAUUUUUCUUUAACUGUGCUAUUUAUUGGCUUCACUCACGCCUCCUCCGGUUACCCCAGCACGAAAGCCUUUAUGAGCUCCUCUGUUUGGCGGCCUCUCACAUUUUGCACCCUCUUUCUCUUCUUGUGCGUUACUUUUUGAGUGUUGAACAGAAGAGACGCUUUCCUUGCCUUGCCUCUUUCCGGUCCUGUGCCCCCCCCCUUCCCUCUCCUCGCUGCCUCGCGUGCGUUUUUUUGUUCGGGCCUCUUUUGCCUCUUUUACAAAACCAGCCAAAAAGCUUUCUCUCUUUCCACGGUUGCGGGAGAAGAGGCGUGCAAGAUGGGUGAGUAGUGACUGUCUUUGGGUUUGACAUUUUCGUGCUUGCGGACUCGGAGUUCUUUUUUUUUGUUGCUGUUGUUUGUCCCCCCUCUCUCCCUCCCUCCCUCCCUCCCCUGUGUGUUUGUGUGUCGCUCUGUGCGUACCUUUGUACAAUCCUACAUCCUUCUUUUCUCACCAUCACCUCCGCUUGCUCUGUCGUCAUAGUAAGUGUUGGAUGCCGUCUUUGCUGCGUGAUGUGUUUGUGCUUCGAGUAUAUACCAUAAGGCUGCUAGUGUGUGCUUUUCUUUUAUCUUUCGUUUGCUCUCGCCCUACUUUAUCCUCCUCGUACGAAUCUCUCGCUCUUUUUUUUUACUGUCUGCACACACAAGCGGGUGACCGUGCAUAUGGCUAAAGGGAAGACGCUUACGGGUACGUGUUGAAUUUCUUGCGGCUGUGCGCUUUUCUCUUUUCGUCAUAUAUAUCACAAGUGCCUUCGAUGCUUUUUCGUUUUUUUUUUAGUUCUUUCGUUUAUGGUCGUAUAUACUGUGUGUGUGCGCGCGCGCGUCUUCUUCCCACCAGCGUGUGCGCGUUGGUCGUCGCUCUCCAGGCUUUGCUCGAAGGACAGAUUCACGCAUAGCCCUCCUUUGCCCCCCCCCCUCCCCCCUCCUCCUCGGCGCGUCUUGCUGUGCGCUUUGUGCCGUCUAGUUCUCCUUCGCUGCCGUUGCUGUGCUGUUUUGUGCGGCUACCCUCUUGUUGUUUCUUGUGCGUGCUCCCCAGCUCAUUAACAUUCCCGUGUGUGCCCCUUCUUUCUGUCUCUCUGUGCGCUUGUACGUGUUUGGUGCCUGCGUGCCUUGAUGGCGUGCAAUGGGGUGGAGGCAACAGUAGCAGCAGGAAAGAAACGGAAGUAAAACGAAGCAAGUAGACAAGAGACAAUGGACGGAAGGCGCUUCGUAAGGAAUUUCUCUCUUCCUUUUUCCUGUGUGUGUGUGCAGGGCUGUUGGACUUGCUGUGUGUGUGUGUGUACAUGUAGGCGCUGCCGCACUCAAUUCUCGUCCCGCUCUCUUUAUUCCUCUCUGUGCGGCGGCCGUUUUUUUUUGUUGUUUUGUUUUCUUCUGCUUUUCGGAUCGCUCUCUCUUUCUCUCCGCUCUCUCUUUCUCUCCGCUCUCUCUUUCUCUCCGCUCUCUCUUGGGUGCGCUUCCCUGCUUGUGUUGCUGUCCACUGUGUGCCCUCUGCUGCCGAUCUCCUCUCACAACACCUGCGGAUCUCUCAUGCCGGGCGCAACGCGCGCCUUACAGACACGCGCAUGUCCCGUGCAUGUAACAUGCGGCCGUAGCAAAAGGGUGACUGUGAGAAAAGGUCAGCCAGUGGUGCGCCACACCGCGACAUCACCUGAGGCAGCGGUGCUGAUGCCCGUGCGCAAGAGAGGAAAAAGCAAGACAAGGAGCCUAAGCUGGCUGUGCACAGCGCAACGCAGGAGACGCACAAAGAGGUGACUUGAAAGAGAACGAGUACGGGAGAGCCGCCGUGCGUUGGAGAAUCAAACAAGGGUGAAGGAGCGCGAUAGAUCCUGCUAGCUACCGGAAGGUAGGAUGGCUAACCAGUCAACCAACGUCAGCGUCUGCCAGCACUCAAUCACAGGCACACACACACACACACACAGAGCCGCGCCACCCCGUCAUGCUCUUAGCACACACCUCAUCUUCGUUUUAAGUUGCCACCCUACUCACGAAGGCUCACCGUUUUGUUUUUCCUUUGAUAAUUUACCGUUUUCCCUUCCUCCCGUAUCACCUUAUCCCUAAUACCACACGAGCAGGGUAAGACUGCGCCUCACCCUUUUUUUACUGCGUAAAACGUGUGGGCGCGUCGGCAAGCUGAGGUGGUCGUCUGACAUGGGGCGCUCAGAGCGGUGACAGUUGAGAAAGAAGCAGUGCUCAACGAAAGACAACAACAAAAAAAGACAGUUUUCCCUUCUGGGUGAAUGAGGAGAAGCCAAGCAGGCACGAUGCAGAGAGAUUGCACAUUGUAUGUGUGGCCCUGUCUGUGCGCGCGCGCAUUUCUGUGCGUCGCUUCUUCACCCUCUCCAGCUGUGGAAAGCGUGCGCCUCUUUUUUUUUCUCGUGGUCUUCUUCAGCGGGCCGCAUCACUUCUAGACGUGCGUGCGUUUCGUGCGCUCAUGGGUCUCUCAUCGAAACUUGAACGAGAGGACCACGCGCGAGAGGGAGGGAACAGUAGCCACGGCAAAGCGGCGCACAGAGAAGGCAGACACGCAGUCCAAGCUGGAAGUUGCUGGCGGCAGCCACACAACCUGGAACGGCGGCUCAUCAUCGAAGAUGCAGGCCUACAAGCGUGCACUCCACCUUCUCCAUGUCCACCGAGAAGACGAGAGGAAAAGGAAUAGAACGAAGCACUGCAAUAGCAACGAAGCCGCAGCGCGGAGUAGAGAAGACGCAGAAAAACAGCAAAAAAUGUAGGAGCUCACGUGAAGCAGUCGUAUACAGGAGAGAGGGAGACGAAAACGCGCAGCGUCGCGCGUCUCUGUCUCAUCUGCGACGAAACGUCUUCGCUUUUUCCCUUUUCUGUUCUUCGGGCAGAAAAUGCGUUUGUGUCAGGAAAUGGGGAGAGAUGUGGCUGAGCAGCGGAAUGUGGAAGCUGCCUCUGGAGACGUCUUCACAGGUGCGCGCGCCUGUGCGUGUGUGCUUGUGUGUUUCUUCGCUCUAUUGCCACUCGACAACAUUCUAUUUUGUGUUUCCAGGUUUUUUUUUCCAUGCUGACGAGGGCACACGGACGAAACAAACAAGCAGCAGCAACAACAAAAAGGAGGCGCGCAACCAGCAGAACUGAUUUGCUUGAACGCGCACAUGGGUCGCCACAACUGCAUGGACGGCUUCUUGUGCAGCUAUCAUGUCCGAUGGCAUGUAGGAAAGUGCGGAGAGGGAGAUUGUGCAGCACUGCUUCCGGCGCGAACGCUUCCCCUUCAACGGGUGCAGAGAACCGUCUGGGACACAUGAGCGUCUUUUUUUUUCGAUUGCGUCGUACAGGAAGGAGCGCACAGACGUGCAUCUGUACGUCGCUUUCUCUCUCUGCUUCUUGUUCUUCCACUGCUGAAUCUGCCUCCCUCUCGACGCGUUGACCCCCUCCCCCCUCCGUCUUUAUCUCUGCCGCAUACUGAUUCUCGUCUCAUCCUGCGCCUUUUUCCUCCGUGUCGCAUCGGACGCACCUCGUGUACCCCCACCCCUCCUAUCCCCCACUCCACAUAUCCUCCCUGACGCGCCAUUGCGGCGAUGAUAAACAUCCUUGUGCGGCAUAUGAG